UGAAAGCUCCAGAGCUCUGUCCCUCACCUUCAUGGUGAUGCUUCCCAAAGUGUGCAAGGCAAACUCCUUUCAUUUUUACAGAAGACCACAGGACUCAUUUCCUGUUAUAAACUCUCCUGCCACCCCUCUAGCUUUCCCCCAUAGGAUGCCCGCCUUGCUCUCCAGCAAUACUAGCUUUGGCUCAAUUCUUAGUAAGCUGCAUGCUCCCUUCUACCUUAGAACCUCUGCUCUGGCCUUUCUUCUGCCCAUCUCCAACACCUUCAGAUUUCUGCAGGGAAGCCUUCCCUGAUCCCCACUGAGACUAGGGGUGGUACCUGCAUUUUAUAGUCUCAUAGUUCCUUGUUUUUGCUGUUGUUGUUUUCUAUCAUAGUACUUAACACAUUUGUAAAAUGUAUUUGUGUGAUUAUUUGAUUAACUUCACUCCCAACCCCACUCUUCUCAGCUGCAUGCCUUCCUAUCCCUAUUA
rnacentral:lncRNA from 1 species